rnacentral:rRNA from 1 species
UGCACGUCGAAUCGGAAAGGCCCCUUCGGGGGGUACUCGAGUGGCGAACGGGUGAGUAACACGUGGGUGAUCUGCCCUGCACUCUGGGAUAAGCCUGGGAAACUGGGUCUAAUACCGGAUACACCCUUCUGGUUGCAUGGCUGGGAGGGGAAAGCUUUUGCGGUGUGGGAUGGGCCCGCGGCCUAUCAGCUUGUUGGUGUGGUGAUGGCCUACCAAGGCGACGACGGGUAGCCGGCCUGAGAGGGUGUCCGGCCACACUGGGACUGAGAUACGGCCCAGACUCCUACGGGAGGCAGCAGUGGGGAAUAUUGCACAAUGGGCGCAAGCCUGAUGCAGCGACGCCGCGUGGGGGAUGACGGCCUUCGGGUUGUAAACCCCUUUCAGUAGGGACGAAGCGUGAGUGACGGUACCUACAGAAGAAGCACCGGCCAACUACGUGCCAGCAGCCGCGGUAAUACGUAGGGUGCGAGCGUUGUCCGGAAUUACUGGGCGUAAAGAGCUCGUAGGUGGUUUGUCGCGUUGUUCGUGAAAACUCACAGCUUAACUGUGGGCGUGCGGGCGAUACGGGCAGACUAGAGUACUGCAGGGGAGACUGGAAUUCCUGGUGUAGCGGUGGAAUGCGCAGAUAUCAGGAGGAACACCGGUGGCGAAGGCGGGUCUCUGGGCAGUAACUGACGCUGAGGAGCGAAAGCGUGGGGAGCGAACAGGAUUAGAUACCCUGGUAGUCCACGCCGUAAACGGUGGGUACUAGGUGUGGGUUUCCUUCCUUGGGAUCCGUGCCGUAGCUAACGCAUUAAGUACCCCGCCUGGGGAGUACGGCCGCAAGGCUAAAACUCAAAGGAAUUGACGGGGGCCCGCACAAGCGGCGGAGCAUGUGGAUUAAUUCGAUGCAACGCGAAGAACCUUACCUGGGU